GUGCAGCCUAUCCAGCAAGGUUGAGUCUGACGUGACUCUCCUUUCCUGUAUGUCUGCUAGAUGGACAUGGGGUGGUUUGAGGCCAUGUUGUUUGUCCCUUACAGCAUGGUUAUAGAAACCCCAGACAAGA